rnacentral:lncRNA from 1 species
AUGGCUUUUUACUCUAUUUUCUCAUUGUUCUGUUUUCAGGUUUUCAUUGGGCAAAAGCAUGACAAUCCUGUCAUCCCAGAAAUCAUAUCAAAGGAAAACUUAAACGCAAUUAAAGACACAAUUGAAAGCAUAAAGCUGGUUGCAAUAAAGCUAAAGCAGAAUAUGCCAAGUAGCUUACUACAUGGUGGCUCAAAAGAGGCAGUUCUGACUGAGAAAACAGAACAGGUAGAUGAUAAUCAGACUGGUGUUACCCAAAAUUUUCUGGGAACUGACAAGUCAUCAAAAGAAAAGACAGUUGAGACCCACCCCAAUAAAGAACCAGAAUCAAAUAUUUCAGAUGAGCAGGAUUUGCCUAAUGUGUCUCCACUCACACAACAUAAACCUGUGGUCGAAUAUGAGAAAGAACUGCAGCUUCUUAAUCAGUGGUACAAACUGGAUGAAAAUUUUGACCCAAGUGUUUACAGGCUUCUACCUAUCAGUUUUGCAGCAAGAGGUUGAUCAAGGAUUCCAGGUCCAGGGCUCUCCAGAAGAUCACUGUCAUUGCUUCAAGAGAAAAAUCAAUGACAUACAAUACUACCUGUCAAGCAAACGGGCUUUAAAAUAUAUUGAUAUCCACCAGCUGAGACUGGUGGUCAAUACAAGACUGUAUGAAGCACACCAGAAGUUCAUAGACCGCAUCCAUGCCAGGGUACACUAAUAGUCCCUUUCCAUUAUUUUGGUUUUUAUCACCAUGUCAAAGGACCUCUUUACAUCAUGCAUUAGUCAAGUGGCCAGGGAAAGAUGAAGAAAACCAUAGAGCUUUUUCAUCUUUCCUUUCCUUCACCAUUUGUGCCUUUUUAUAUUGCUCCUUACAUCUGCAACAACAUCCCUGUUCCUGAAAGCCAAGUGUCCUCUCUUCCUUCACAUCCCUUCUCCAAAGCCACUUCUUUCAUCUUGCUUAUCCCACACUGACCUUCAUUCCUGUGUUAUUUACUUCUUUUUUACCCCAUCUCAGUCUUCUAAGAUUUACUCACUAUUUAAUAU